CCUUCGAUAGCUCAGUUGGAAGAGCGCGAGACUGUAAUCGGGUGCUUUCAUAAUUAUCUUGAGGUCGCUGGUUCGAUCCCGGCUCGAAGGA